ACGAAGCGCGAGUGCCUUGCAGUUUACGUACAGUGUUGGACACCCAAAGCUAUCCUUAAACUGUGUAAAGACUGUGUAUCUGGUAGAGUGACUGAAAUGUUGAAACCUGUUGAAAGAAAACUUCGACGAAUCGAAGGAUACGAAUGUGUUACAUUGGCGGUUGUUAUUUACAGGAAGGACUUCAUAAAAUCAAUUGACUUAUUAGUUCGUCGUCUUAAGUGUUAUUUCGACAACAUGCCUCGGACGGAAGAAUUGAUCUCGACACACAGGAACGGUUUUACACCGACAGAUAUUGCACCGACACUACACGCCUUUGAAUUUGCAACAAAAGUAAAUAUUCAAGAAAAUAACGAACAAGAAAUAAUUGGCGGGGAUACAGAAACGAAUCAAGCAUUGCCUGGCACGUUUAAACACAGAUAUGGUCGGGGAACGGAUGACGUUAUUUAGUCUAAAUUGAGCCAAGAAUCAAAUGAAGAGGACGCCAAAACAACCAUUAUUGGAUAUACGCCCGUUUCCAAUGAUAGUUCGAAAAGUAAAGAUCCAGAAUAUAGAAGUGACAUAAGGACAGAUUCGAACAACACACUGGAUGCUGAACUACAUCUAGGAU